GAUUCGAUCACGAUAUUUAUGACACUUUUACUUCUUUUCUCGCGAACCAAGCAGACGGCAACUAGGGUUAGGGUUUCAAUUUUCUGGGUUUCUGAUACAGGAAUCUGGCGAGAUGUACAACGGAAUUGGCUUGCAGACCCCUAGGGGUUCAGGAACGAACGGCUACAUACAGAGCAACAAAUUCUUUGUAAAGCCGAAGACCGGGAAAGUGGUGGUGGACAACGCCGGCAAGGGCUUCGAGGCCGGUCAGGGCACCGCCGGCGUCACCAAGAAGGCCAACAAGGAAAUCCUGGAGCACGACCGCAAGAGGCAGAUCGAGCUCAAGCUUGUGGUCCUUGAAGACAAACUGAUCGAUCAGGGCUACACCGAUGCUGAGAUCGCUGAGAAGCUCGCUGAGGCUAGAAGGAAUCUGGAAGCCGCCGAGAACGCUGCUGAAGGCCCCGGCCCCAUAUCGGUUUCUGAGAAAAAGGUUUCAGAUACACAGACACACCAGAUUGCUGCUCGGAAGGAGAAACAGAUGGAAACAUUAAGAGCUGCUCUUGGGAUAGUCGCUUCUGAGGCCCCCACACAAAAAAGGGAUGAUUUGGAUUCAACCAGUGGAGAGAGCAAUGGUGAUGAUGAACUGGUAGACAACCAAAAAGGUCUUAACAAUGAUAGCAAGCUGUACAAAAAAGACAGUGAUGAUGAAAAAGAAAACUUGACAAGGGAUGUAAAAUUUAGGAAGAAUGAAGAUGGAAGGGGUGGGGUUGAUGAGUUUGGAAACCACAAGAACCAGGAUGACAAGAAGUGGCAUGAUUCUGAAAGUGAUUCUGAAAAGGAUGUAAAACGGACAAGGAAGAAUAAUCAGAAGACUAAUCAAGGGAGUGAUUCUGACCGUGAUCUGGAUGUUGAUGGUAGGAACAAAAGUAAAAAAUCAUCACAAAAGGACAAGGACAGUCAAAGAUUUGACACUGAUGAUUCUGAGUCAGAUGAUGAAAAGUAUGAGAAAGCUCGAAAGAAGCAUGACAAGAAAAAUAGAAGAUAUGACACUGAUGAUUCUGAAUCUGAUGAUGAGGGUUAUGAGAAAACCCAAAAGAGGCAUGACAAGAAAACUAGAAGGCAUGGCAGUGAUACUUCUGAAUCUGAUGAUGAGGAUUAUGAGAAAACCCAGAAGAGGCGUGACAAGAAAAAUAGAAGACAUGACAGUGAUUAUUCUGCAUCUGAUGAUGAGAAAUAUGAGAAGACUUGCUCAAGGCAUGACAAGAAACAUAGAAGAGACAGUGGUUAUUUGAGUUCUGAUGAUGAUAAAUACCAGAAAGCUCGUCGGAGGCAUGACUCAGAUGACGAUGAUUCUGGUUUUGAUGAAAGCUCCAAGCUUAAGACUCUGAAGGGAAAGCAUCAUUUGGAAAUGAACAGGCGAGAUGAUUCUGAGUCUAAAUCUGAUAUGUAUAGCAAUGAUAGAAAUAAAAGAAAGCAAGUGGAGAGGAAACGGAAUCCAGAGAGUGGCAGUCACAGACUGGAGAAAAAGAGUUACCGUUUGGAGGAGCACAAGAAAAUUGACGGGAGACAUGAGAAAGGUAACAGAAGGUAUAAUGUGGAAAGUGACUCGGAGACUGAGAGAGGAAGAAAAUACAGGAAUAUAGAGAAGAGUACAAGGCGGCGACAUGACUCUGAUGGUGAUGACUAUCAUGCCCAGUAUAAGAAGAUAGAAAAAAGCCAGAGAAGAAGGCAGCAUGAUACCGAAGAAGAUGAGAAUGAUGACGGUAAGAGUGAUUCUGGCAUUGAAUCAAAUGAAUAUAAGCAUGGGAAAAGAGAUAAUAUCAAGUCCUAUGGGAGGAAGAAAAGUAGCCAUGGAGGUGAUUUAAGUAGUGGUGAGGCACUAGGUGGAUUUGGAUCUAACCUAGAUGAAAAAGCUUUUAGAUCUAAUGUUGGUAGGGAUGAAGAUGGCAAAAAGCAGAAAAGUACACCUGGAAAGGUUGAUGAUGGCUUGGACACAUUCAGGAAAUUAGAGGAGCUUUCCCGCUCAAAAGGUGAUACAGUGGAUAGCCAUGGAAGUCGAGAAAUGACGAGGGCAAAGAGGAAGGCGGAUGACAGAAAUGUGGAUGAGAAGCCAGAGGCAAAGUCUAGAAGUCGGACUGUAGGGAAAGAGGUAGAUCACAGUAGGGAACAACAGAAGGAUCCUGAAACAGAUAGUAGAUCAUACAGACUUAAGGAUGACCAGAAGAGGGAUGAUUAUUCAAGAUCAAAUAGAUCUGCGAGGGGACAUGAGAAUGACAACACUGAACGAGCGGGCAGAACUCAUGGCAGGGAUGAACUAUAUCGUCACAGCAGGAGAAGUGAUCGGGAUUAUGAAGAGCAACGAGGUGGCAAGAGAUAUUAUAGCAGGGAUGAGGAUGAGAGCAGGGGAAAGAAACACAAGAGAGAUGAAGAGGAUAUAUAUAGGAGGGACAUGAAAGAUGAGGAACAAUAUCAGCAUGGUAGUAAAAGACAAGGAAGAGAUGAGGAAGAAGUACGUGGAAGUAGGAGAGAUGAGAGUAGGCACGCAGAAUCCUCAAAGAGAGUAAAAUAUGAAGAUUCUGGGUCAGGUGACAGGAGAAGGUACGACAUUGACAAGCAGGAUGAUAGACGCGCCAGGCCACGAGACUGAAGUUGCUUGUUAUCUUAGAGACAGGCUUAUGGAUGGUAAGGAUCUGUUUAUCUCCUACAUUUAUUGAGUGCAUGUGUCUUUUUGAGCUGCAGAAGUAUAUACGAAUAUAGAACUGAUUUUACCAAAUAUUUUGGAUUAGUGGGCAUGCCCUUGGUUGGAUGAAGAUAAGCAUGCUCCCAUCUUAAAUUCUCUUUUCCCUUGCCAAUGCUUCUCCUAUUAAGAAUAAUGAAUGUGCAAGCUCACCUAUUCAUUCUCAUUGAGGUGGUAAGCAUAUCCUGGAGCAUAAAGUGAUAGCUGCUAUGCAAUUUCUUUCCAUGAUAAACCCCCAAUUUUGUGAUUGAAGUAAAUAUCAUGUCUCACAUCCUGAUGGAGUCUUGAGCACCUCUGUUGCUUGAGCACAUUAAAGAUGGAAUCAAUGAUUUGGGAGAGAUGGAGAUGGUCGCUUUUGUUUACUCUGCCAAUAUAUAUAUAUAUGUAUCCUCAUGAUGCUUUGCUCUGCUUCUUUGUAUGAAUGAAAGAAUAUAAAAACACAAGACUAGUACUAGCCUCUUUUGUGUUGCAAAACUUGUUCUGGGCUUUCCUCAGUCCUUAAUUUCACGAGUUCUAUCUAAUAUUUUCCAAUCCGAAGCAAAAAAAAAAAUUAUGAUUUCA